rnacentral:lncRNA from 1 species
UUCAGUGUUCCUUCAGCUGACUCUGCCUCUUCAAUGACUCUCCCACCAUGGCCAGGCUAACAGUGUGUGCUUUAACAGGGAUGGUGGUGACACCCCACGCUCAGACUGAGAUGAUGACGUAAGGAAGUAGUCACAAGGCAGUAUGGAUAGCAGGCAAGAACUGGGGUCCCGGGGCCGCACUGCCUGGAUUCCAAGCCUGAUUUUGCAUGCAUGACUUGAGACUUCAGGGGCAAGUCCAGCCAGUCAGCAAGCCACCUGAAUUUACAGGAGUGACAUUUCCACGUUAUUCAAAUUCAAAACAAGCCUACUCGGUGAACCUCAGCCCCAAGGAAUUCACAGUGCUCUACAUCGACUCCCAAUUUGCAAUUCUAGCAUCUCACUGAGACCAGGCAGUACAGAAAGAGACCUUGUGUUUUGUGACAAGUUCUUCUUUCAAGUCUUCAUGCUCAAAGAGAAUUGACUACAGAGUGUCAGGUGUCCUUCAGCUGAGAUUUAACA